UGAAUACGAGACGCUAAGGCGUCGAAGUAGUGUAUGUCAUACUUCCAAGAAAAGCUUGCACUGUCAUAGAUAAAAAACGCCUGUACCAUAACCGACACAGGUGGGUAGGUAGAGUAUACUAAGGGGCGCGAGAUAACUCUCUCUAAGGAACUCGGCAAAAUAACUCCGUAACUUCGGGAGAAGGAGUGCCUUAUUCGUAAGGUUGCAAUAACAAGAUCCAAGCAACUGUUUAUCAAAAACACAGGUCUCCGCUAAGUCGUAAGACGAUGUAUGGGGGCUGACGCCUGCCCAGUGCCAGAAGGUUAAAGAAGUUGGUUAGCAAUUGCGAAGCUGAUAACUGAAGCCCUGGUGAACGGCGGCCGUAACAAUAACGGUCCUAAGGUAGCGAAAUUCCUUGUCGGGUAAGUUCCGACCCGCACGAAAGGCGUAAUGAUUUGGAUACUGUCUCGGAGAGGGGCUCGGUGAAAUAGACUUGUCUGUGAAGAUGCGGACUACCUGCACCAGGACAGAAAGACCCUAUGAAGCUUUACUGUAACUUGAAAUUGAAAUUGGACUUUAUUCGCGCAGUAUAGGUGGGAGGCGUUGAUUAUAAUCUUGUGGGAUUAUUGGAGCCAUCAGUGAGAUACCACUCUUGUAAUGUUAGAUUUCUAACUUUGAAUCAUUAUCUGGUCAAAGAACAGUUUCAGGCGGGCAGUUUGACUGGGGCGGUCGCCUCCUAAACGGUAACGGAGGCGUACAAAGGUUUCCUCUGAACGGUUAGAAAUCGUAUCUAGAGUGUAAAGGCAUAAGGAAGCUUGACUGUGAGACCUACAAGUCGAGCAGGGACGAAAGUCGGUCUUAGUGAUCUGACGGUACUGAGUGGAAAGGCCGUCACUCAACGGAUAAAAGUUACCCUAGGAUAACAGGCUGAUCUCCCCCAAGAGUUCACAUCGACGGGGAGGUUUGGCACCUCGAUGUCGGCUCAUCGCAUCCUGGGGCGGUAGUACGUCCCAAGGGUUGGGCUGUUCGUCCAUGAAAGCGGUACGCGAGCUGGGUUCAGAACGUCGUGAGACAGUUCGGUCCAUAUCCGGUGUAGGCGUUAGAAUAUUGAGAGGAGCCUUCUUUAGUACGAGAGGACCGAGAAGGACAUACCUCUGGUGUACCAGUUAUCGUGCCAACGGUAAACGCUGGGUAGCUAUGUAUGGAGUGGAUAACCGCUGAAAGCAUCUAAGUGGGAAGCCCACCUCAAGAUAAGUAUUCUC
rnacentral:rRNA from 1 species